UGCGGAGGUGGCAAGCGUUGCUCGGAAUCACUGGGCGUAAAGGGCGCGUAGGCGGGGAGGUAAGUCGGGUGUGAAAUCCCUCGGCCCAACCGAGGAACUGCGCCCGAGACUGCUUCUCUUGAGUCCCGGAGAGGAAGAUGGAAUUCCCGGUGUAGCGGUGAAAUGUGUAGAGAUCGGGAGGAACACCGGUGGCGAAGGCGGUCUUCUGGACGGUGACUGACGCUGAGGCGCGAAAGCGUGGGGAGCAAACGGG
rnacentral:rRNA from 1 species